rnacentral:rRNA from 1 species
UGUAAGCGUAUACCAAAGUUGUUGCAGUUAAAACGCUCGUAGUCGGAAUUUGGCAGUUCCGGAAGUGUGCACGUCGUGUGCGCACUUUGCGGGGACUGCUUUUGUGGUCUUGCGUAGGAUGAGGCACUUUCAUUAGUGAACGUCCUCACGCAACCACUCUUUACUGUGAGAAAAUCAGGGUGAUCAAAGCAGGCAUUUGCCGUGAAUGUAUUAGCAUGGAAUAAUAGAAUAGGACUCGGUUCUAUUUUGUUGGUUUGUUGGGACUGAGUAAUGAUUAAGAGGGACAGUUGGGGGCAUUUGUAUUCCGGCGCUAGAGGUGAAAUUCUUAGAUUGCCGGAAGACAAACUGCUGCGAAAGCGUCUGCCAAGGAUGUUUUCAUUGA